CGGCAGCAGCUGCCCUCUGCAGGUCUCUCUGCGUAAGUGCAGCCUAUUCUUCUAGAAAAACCCAACCCCCAACCUGCCAACCAAGCAAAUUCCUGGGACCCUUCUCUGCUCAGGUUACGCCUCUGCAAUGCUAGUCUCACGCGUUCUAGUCAUUUCUAGUCACCUCUAUCGCUCUGAACUCUGGUAUCUGCUUUUUCAGCUCAGUAAGAUGAUGGCCACUGCUUGGAGCACCUGCCAGUUCCAGGUGUGCAGAAUGGGCUGUGUCUGA
rnacentral:lncRNA from 1 species